rnacentral:lncRNA from 1 species
AGCAAGUGGAGGAAGUCUAGAGGAAAGCACAGACCUUUAACAGACAGAAACUACCAUCCUGUGUGGAAAGUGCUAAGAGACCUGAAUAGAGUGAUCUGGGGAAGGAAGCCUUUGCAACCGUUAUUGGAGAGCCAGGAGUCACCAAACAGGGAUCUUGGUGACCAGGGCUUCAAGCUGCUGUCAGGAAAAAGAAUGGCUACCAGGCCUGCACAGGACUUUACCUGGGCUGGAGUAAGCCCUCAUUGUGAUACAGAGCUGAGAGACCCUCUUACACAUCUUCAGUAGGAGCCCUGAACAAGAAUGCUUGAAGCAGCAGUGUUUAUCAUAGCAAGACCUCGAAUUGACUAAAACACUUCUGUCCAGAAUACAUGUGACAUGGAAGAAGCAAAGUCAGCCAGAGCAGCAGGUUGGAGAGGACAUGCACUGUACCAGGAACUGCAGACUCCAGAGAAUGCCAAGGCUGUGGUCCAUUCCAGAUGAUAAGGGCUCCAUGGGUAGCG